AAGAAGAUUAGCUGUGCCCUACCGUUGAUGUUUUUUCGAUAUUUUAAUAUUAAAGCGAUAUUGAAAAACAUCAACGAUAGGGCACAGAUUAUCUUCU